rnacentral:rRNA from 1 species
UACGUAGGGUGCAAGCGUUUGUCCGGAAUUAUUGGGCGUAAAGAGCUCGUAGGCGGUCUGUCGCGUCGGAUGUGAAAAUCCAGGGCUUAACCCUGGGCCUGCAUUCGAUACGGGCAGACUAGAGUUCGGUAGGGGAGACUGGAAUUCCUGGUGUAGCGGUGAAAUGCGCAGAUAUCAGGAGGAACACCGGUGGCGAAGGCGGGUCUCUAGGCCGACACUGACGCUGAGGAGCGAAAGCGUGGGGAGCGAACAGG